AGAGAUGUGUGAUGACGCAUAUCAAUAAGCGGAGGAAAAGAAACUAACAAGGAUUCCCUUAGUAACGGCGAGUGAAGCGGGAAGAGCUCAAAUUUGAAAUCUUCAAGGUUCUACCUUGACGAAUUGUAGUUUAUAGAAGUGUUUUCUGUUAGUAGAGUGGCAAAGGUUCUUUGGAAUAGGACAUCAUAGAGGGUGAGAAUCCCGUAUUUGGUCAUUCUUUCUAGCUUUGUGAUACACUUUCAACGAGUCGGAUUGUUUGGGAAUGCUGUCCAAAAUGGGUGGUAAAUUUCAUCUAAAGCUAAAUAUUGGCGAGAGACCGAUAGCGAACAAGUACCGUGAGGGAAAGAUGAAAAGAACUUUGAAAAGAGAGUUAAACAGUACGUGAAAUUGUCAAAAGGGAAGCGUUUGACACCAGUGUUGUUUUUCCGAAAAUCAAUUACGAAUGUUUUAUUUUUGAGGAGUUAUGACUUCAUCGGCUUGCUUCUCUCUUUAUGAAACUUUCUUAAUGCACUUUUCGGUUAACAAGUCAACAUCAAUUUCUUUUGUUGUAAAAGGGUACGAGGAAGGUGGCUUUCUUUUCGGAGAAAGUGUUUAUAGCCUUGUGCCUCUGCAAUCGGAGAGAUUGAGGUCUGCAGCGUAGAUCCUUCGGGGUUAGAUACGUUUGUGCUAAGUUAUAGCUUUUCAUAGACAACUUGUUGACUAUGUUUAGUCUUGUAGCUUACUCGCUUAUGCUAUUUUACCUACGCUUAGGAUGUUGAAGAUGUAGCACAUCAU
rnacentral:rRNA from 1 species